GGGGCUGUAGCUCAGUGGUAGAGUGUCCACCUAGCAAGUGUGAGGCACUGAGUUCGAUCCUCAACACCA
rnacentral:tRNA from 1 species